rnacentral:rRNA from 1 species
UCCGAAGGGGGCUAGCGUUGUUCGGAUUUACUGGGCGUAAAGCGCACGUAGGCGGAUCGUUAAGUCGGGGGUGAAAUCCUGGAGCUCAACUCUGGAACUGCCUUUGAUACUGAAGAUCUUGAGUUCGGGAGAGGUGAGUGGAACUGCGAGUGUAGAGGUGAAAUUCGUAGAUAUUCGCAAGAACACCAGUGGCGAAGGCGGCUCACUGGCCCGAUACUGACGCUGAGGCACGAAAGCGUGGGGAGCAAACAGG